GAGACUACAACACUACACAGGUAACCUACUGAGACUACAACACUACACAGGUAACCUACUGAGACUACAACACUACACAGGUAACCUACUGACACUACACAGGUAACCUACUGAGACUACAACACUACACAGGUAACCUACUGAGACUACAACACUACACAGGUAACCUACUGAGACUACACAGGUAACCUACUGAGACUACUACACUACACAGGUAACCUACUGAGACUACAAAGGUAACCUACUGAGACUACUACACUACACAGGUAACCUAGUGAGACUACUACACUACACAGGUAACCUACUGAGACUACUACACUACACAGGUAACCUACUGAGACUACACAGGUAACCUACUGAGACUACAACACUACACAGGUAACCUACUGAGACUACACAGGUAACCUACUGAGACUACUACACUACACAGGUAACCUACUGAGACUACAACACUACACAGGUAACCUACUGAGACUACACAGGUAACCUACUGAGACUACACAGGUAACCUACUGAGACUACUACACUACACAGGUAACCUACUGAGACUACUACACUACACAGGUAACCUACUGAGACUACACAGGUAACCUACUGAGACUACUACACUACACAGGUAACCUACUGAGACUACUACACUACACAGGUAACCUACUGAGACUACUACACUACACAGGUAACCUACUGAGACUACACAGGUAACCUACUGAGACUACAACACUACACAGGUAACCUACUGAGACUACACAGGUAACCUACUGAGACUACAACACUACACAGGUAACCUACUGACACUACACAGGUAACCUACUGAGACUACAACACUACACAGGUAACCUACUGAGACUACAACACUACACAGGUAACCUACUGAGACUACACAGGUAACCUACUGAGACUACUACACUACACAGGUAACCUACUGAGACUACACAGGUAACCUACUGAGACUACAACACUACACAGGUAACCUACUGAGACUACAACACUACACAGGUAACCUACUGAGACUACACAGGUAACCUACUGAGACUACACAGGUAACCUACUGAGACUACUACACUACACAGGUAACCUACUGAGACUACAACACUACACAGGUAACCUACUGAGACUACACAGGUAACCUACUGAGACUACUACACUACACAGGUAACCUACUGAGACUACUACACUACACAGGUAACCUACUGAGACUACAACACUACACAGGUAACCUACUGAGACUACUACACUACACAGGUAACCUACUGAGACUACACAGGUAACCUACUGAGACUACUACACUACACAGGUAACCUACUGAGACUACUACACUACACAGGUAACCUACUGAGACUACUACACUACACAGGUAACCUACUGAGACUACUACACUACACAGGUAACCAACUGACACUACACAGGUAACCUACUGACACUACACAGGUAACCUACUGACACUACACAGGUAACCUACUGACACUACACAGGUAACCUACUGACACUACACAGGUAACCUACUGACACUACACAGGUAACCUACUGACACUACACAGGUAACCUACUGACACUACACAGGUAACCUACUGAGACUACACAGGUAACCUACUGACACUACACAGGUAACCUACUGACACUACACAGGUAACCUACUGACACUACACAGGUAA